rnacentral:rRNA from 1 species
CAGGCUUAACACAUGCAAGUCGAGGGGCAGCAUUUUAGUUUGCUUGCAAACUGAAGAUGGCGACCGGCGCACGGGUGAGUAACACGUAUCCAACCUGCCGAUAACUCCGGAAUAGCCUUUCGAAAGAAGGAUUAAUACCGGAUAGUAUACGAAUAUCGCAUGGUAUUUUUAUUAAAGAAUUUCGGUUAUCGAUGGGGAUGCGUUCCAUUAGUUUGUUGGCGGGGUAACGGCCCACCAAGACUACGAUGGAUAGGGGUUCUGAGAGGAAGGUCCCCCACAUUGGAACUGAGACACGGUCCAAACUCCUACGGGAGGCAGCAGUGAGGAAUAUUGGUCAAUGGGCGAGAGCCUGAACCAGCCAAGUAGCGUGAAGGAUGAAGGCUCUAUGGGUCGUAAACUUCUUUUAUAUGGGAAUAAAGUUUUCCACGUGUGGAAUUUUGUAUGUACCAUAUGAAUAAGGAUCGGCUAACUCCGUGCCAGCAGCCGCGGUAAUACGGAGGAUCCGAGCGUUAUCCGGAUUUAUUGGGUUUAAAGGGAGCGUAGGUGGAUUGUUAAGUCAGUUGUGAAAGUUUGCGGCUCAACCGUAAAAUUGCAGUUGAAACUGGCAGUCUUGAGUACAGUAGAGGUGGGCGGAAUUCGUGGUGUAGCGGUGAAAUGCUUAGAUAUCACGAAGAACUCCGAUUGCGAAGGCAGCUCACUAGACUGUCACUGACACUGAUGCUCGAAAGUGUGGGUAUCAAACAGGAUUAGAUACCCUGGUAGUCCACACAGUAAACGAUGAAUACUCGCUGUUUGCGAUAUACAGUAAGCGGCCAAGCGAAAGCAUUAAGUAUUCCACCUGGGGAGUACGCCGGCAACGGUGAAACUCAAAGGAAUUGACGGGGGCCCGCACAAGCGGAGGAACAUGUGGUUUAAUUCGAUGAUACGCGAGGAACCUUACCCGGGCUUAAAUUGCAACAGAAUAUAUUGGAAACGGUAUAGCCGUAAGGCUGUUGUGAAGGUGCUGCAUGGUUGUCGUCAGCUCGUGCCGUGAGGUGUCGGCUUAAGUGCCAUAACGAGCGCAACCCUUAUCUUUAGUUACUAACAGGUGAUGCUGAGGACUCUAGAGAGACUGCCGUCGUAAGAUGUGAGGAAGGUGGGGAUGACGUCAAAUCAGCACGGCCCUUACGUCCGGGGCUACACACGUGUUACAAUGGGGGGUACAGAAGGCGGCUACCUGGUGACAGGAUGCUAAUCCCAAAAACCUCUCUCAGUUCGGAUCGAAGUCUGCAACCCGACUUCGUGAAGCUGGAUUCGCUAGUAAUCGCGCAUCAGCCAUGGCGCGGUGAAUACGUUCCCGGGCCUUGUACACACCGCCCGUCAAGCCAUGAAAGCCGGGGGUACCUGAAGUACGUAACCGCAAGGAGCGUCCUAGGGUAAAACUGGUAAUUGGGGCUAAGUCGUA